rnacentral:rRNA from 1 species
UUUGAAAUCUGGCGUCUUCGACGUCCGAGUUGUAAUUUGAAGAAGGCGACUUUGUAGCUGGUCCUUGUCUAUGUUCCUUGGAACAGGACGUCAUAGAGGGUGAGAAUCCCGUGUGGCGAGGAUCCCAGUUAUUUGUAAAGUGCUUUCGACGAGUCGAGUUGUUUGGGAAUGCAGCUCUAAGUGGGUGGUAAAUUCCAUCUAAAGCUAAAUAUUGGCGAGAGACCGAUAGCGAACAAGUACAGUGAUGGAAAGAUGAAAAGAACUUUGAAAAGAGAGUGAAAAAGUACGUGAAAUUGUUGAAAGGGAAGGGCAUUUGAUCAGACAUGGCGUUUGCUUCGGCUUUCGCUGGGCCAGCAUCAGUUUUAGCGGUUGGAUAAAUCCUCGGGAAUGUGGCUCUGCUUCGGUAGAGUGUUAUAGCCCGUGGGAAUACAGCCAGCUGGGACUGAGGAUUGCGACUUUUGUCAAGGAUGCUGGCGUAAUGGUUAAAU